GUGUCAGCAGCCGCGGUAAUACGUAGGAUGCAAGCGUUGUCCGGAAUUAUUGGGCGUAAAGAGCGCGCAGGCGGUAACUCAAGUCAGAUGUGAAAUAUCCGGGCUUAACCCGGAGGGGUCAUUUGAAACUGAGUAACUAGAGUACAGCAGAGGAUAGCGGAAUUCCCGGUGUAGUGGUGAAAUGCGUAGAUAUCGGGAGGAACACCAGUGGCGAAGGCGGCUAUCUGGGCUGAAACUGACGCUGAGGCGCGAAGGCUAGGGGAGCAAACAGGAUUAGAAACCCCUGUAGUCC
rnacentral:rRNA from 1 species